GGACCAAAAAAAAGCAGAUACCGAUUUAAAAUCGGACCAUUUUUAUACAUACAUACAUAAAAACCGGCCGAUUUUAAUCGGUAUCGGCGUUGAAAAAUCAUAAUCAGUCGACCUCUAGACUUUAGAAAACUAAAAUAAGCCCAACCCCUCCUAUGCUCCUACCCAUCGAUUGGUAUCAAGAGAGGGACACGGUGUCCAGACAGCCAAGGUUUUAAUGAAAAGUAGCAUCCUAUUGGUCCAAUGCCAUGUAGUUGGAAGAGCAGCCCUAUUGUAUGCAGAUGGACUAUAUUAAACUUAUUUUACCACCUUAGAAUCACUUGUAUUGAUACUCAUAGUAUAACAUAAUUGUCCACAUGCCUUAUGUUCUAGUCAAUCAACAUCAAUGAUUCCUGACCCUUUUUGCUAUAUUUUAUUUCCUUUUUUGCUGUGUGCCACAGAGGCUUUCAAAUUGUCAGUUCGUGCCUGUCGCUUCAAAGUCGAGGUCUCACUACUACCAUUGAAAUGUUUUUCCCUUUUAUCAGUAGAGCGAGCUAAGGAUUGAAAACACAAAAUGGAUAUUCCAGUGUAGCCAAUCAAUCUGUCCCUGUGGACUUACACAGAAAUCAUCAGUCAACCAAUUAGCCAUCGUUAGUGUUGCUAAAAGGGGACUUGUCAAGUGAUAGACGGCAAAGUUACCUGACCAUUGCUAGGCACACAGGCUCCGUUCCACACACAAACUCUGUGAUGCAACCAAUGGCCGUUGCAGAUUCCAUUGAAAAUGAAUAAAAAGGGGCAUCAUUCUGCAUUUGUAAUGUGGCACUUUUCUGAUACUGCUGCUGCCACCCAUUUUUUGGCUGGGGUAGAUUGUAGCCUUUACUGUGUUCUUAUUGGGCCUUGAACCCAUUACCCAGCAGUAGCAGCAAUAGCCGCAUGCGACUCGUUAUAUUGACCAGCCAGAGUGGAAACCCUGACGGGGCUGAUUUAUUCAGUGCCGGGCAGCCAAGCGGAAGCGGAUUGUGGUGUUAUAUAUUGACGUCUUCCUAUUGCCACUACAGUGCGGGGCUCAAAGUUGACGAGAGCCCAAACAGGCCAGCUAACUUCCAACUAUAGUAUGAGUCAGUACUGUGUGGCUUCUUGGCCUUAGUAGUGGGGGACCAGGCAUGGAGUAGUCUGUCUGUCUGCCUGUAAUGUCUAUUUAUGUCCCAGUUAGAUGUUUUAAUGCAAUUUGAACACGUGGCCCAGAGAAAAGAGAACACAGUUUACAGGCGAACGACAACUUUGAGCAUCGAUUGACCGAGACGGUACAAAAGUACCUUUACCAGUACGAUUCUAGCCAUGCAGCAUGUAAAUGCCAAUUCAUGGAGGGAGAUUGCGGAGAAGCUGGGGUCUGACCCAACCACUUGUGAAAAGGCGGGGUAGGGUUUGCAAAAAGUUCGUCAAAGAAAAGAAACAAGGGCCGCAGUGGAGUUGCGGUUGGAAAGGCUACUCCAGAAAUGUUGCUGCAGGCAUGGGAAGCAUGUAAGACUGAAAGCAACGCGCUGUCUUCACGAAAGGAUGGGGCACAAACACCAGUGAAUGGAGACAGCACCUGGUUUUGUUCUCUGCGCCUCAGUACUGCCUGUUAACCGGCCCCAAGCACUACCUCUGCAGCCAGCCCAUCUCCCGCACUGAGUUGCAGUGCAGAAUUACAAACGAUCUCAAUGCAGGACCUGGGAAGCUCUAUCUUGGGCCAACCUCCAAGACGUACUCCACUGGCUUGCUCCUCAGCGACGCCAAAGAGCAGUAGCAGGGGUUUGAGGAGAAGGGAGACCUACUCCACUGGCUUGCUCCUCAGUGAGGCCACAGAGCAGCAGUAGUAGCAGGGGUGUGAGAAGAAGGGACAAAAGAGCUGCAGACUCAGUCCUAGACACAUCACUAAAGGCAUUGCAAAUGUUUGAAGACAUCUCAAGAUCUGGAGAAUGUCAUGCACCAAGCCACCAGCUUGUCCCAGAGGGUCCUGGCAGCUACAGCUGAUUUCAUGGAUGAACUCUUGACCAAUCUCCGGGAGGAAUUCUAUCACCAGCUGCACGAGUUCGUGCAUGAUUUCAAGAAGAUGACAUGGACCGAACGACUGAGACCACAGUGAAAUGAACUUGUUCUAUUGUUUAGACAUGUCAGGAGUCACACUUUCAUUUUAUUCCGGUCUUCCCUGUGGCUCAGUUGGUAGAGCAUGGUGUUCGCAACGCCAGCAUGGUGUGUGCAACGCCAGGGUUGUGGGUUCGAUUCCCACGGGGGGCCAGUACAAAAAAAUGCAUAAAAUUAAAGGUAUGAAAUGUAUGCAUUCACUACUGUAAGUCACUCUGGAUAAGAGCGUCUGCUAAAUGACUAAAAUGUAAAAAAAAAAUAAUUCCGUAGUUACUUUUAUUUACAUUUCUGUUCCUAACACACUGUUUUACUAUUGUUCAGAAAUAUUUAACUACACUCUGACACUUACAUUUUAUUCCAUAGAUACUUAUUUACAUGUCUGUUCUUAGCAGACACUUUUGUAUUGUGGUUUACCUUCAGAAGCAAGAAUAAAGGUUUAUUUGUGUGCUGAAAAA